rnacentral:rRNA from 1 species
CCUACGGGAGGCUGCAGUGGGGAAUAUUGGACAAUGGGGGGAACCCUGAUCCAGCCAUGCCGCGUGUGUGAAGAAGGCCCUCGGGUUGUAAAGCACUUUCAGUGAGGAAGAACGCCUGGUGGUUAAUACCCAUCAGGAAAGACAUCACUCACAGAAGAAGCACCGGCUAACUCCGUGCCAGCAGCCGCGGUAAUACGGAGGGUGCGAGCGUUAAUCGGAAUUACUGGGCGUAAAGCGCGCGUAGGUGGCUUGAUAAGCCGGUUGUGAAAGCCCCGGGCUCAACCUGGGAACGGCAUCCGGAACUGUCAAGCUAGAGGGCAGGAGAGGAAGGUAGAAUUCCCGGGGGAGCGGUGAAAUGCGUAGAGAUCGGGAGGAAUACCAGUGGCGAAGGCGGCCUUCUGGACUGACACUGACACUGAGGUGCGAAAGCGUGGGUAGCAAACAGGAUUAGAUACCCUGGUAGUC